rnacentral:lncRNA from 1 species
GUGCUAGAAGCUCAUCUAAUGGCAUUACAAGUUUUAAAUUCACCAUAGCAGCUUCUUCCUGAAAUCAGAAAGCUUUUUUUCUGUCUGCAGCUGGAGUGCGAUGGCAUGAUCUCGGCUCACUGCAACCUCUGCCUCCCAGGUUCAAGCGUUUCUCCUGCCUCACCCUCCCAAGUAGCUGGGAUUGCAGGCAUGCACCACUGUGCCCAGGAAGCUGAGAGUGCUGAGGGCACAUCUGAAACCACUGGAGGUUGGCGACAUGGAGGUCAGAACUGAAGAAUUUGGAAGUGCUCAAAUUUUUAAAUAACCAGAUCGAGGAGCUGCCAACACAGAUCAGCAGGCUUCAAAAACUCAAACACCUGAACCUUGGCCACCCUGUGUGCACUCUAUCUAAGUGACAACGGUUUUGAAAUCCUGCCACCAGAUAUUGGGAAGCUCACAAAGUUGCAGAUAGUAACUCAGCAAUAGGGAUAAAGACCUGAUCUCACUGCUUAAGGAAAUUGGGGAGCUUACCCAGCUUAAAGAGCUCCACAUUCAGAGGAACCGCCUCACUGUUCUACGCCCAGAACUAGGCAAUGAUGGGACCUCUUCUCCUGCAUUUGUUACCCAGAUAAUUUUGCCUUUGGAGAAGAGAAGAAAAUCACAUUGGUCUGCUCGGAAUGCAACAAAACAAAGUGUUAUUGACACCAAAACCUUAUUUGCACCAAUCCAAACAGCCUAUGGGACAUAUGUCUGCAAUGCUGCACACACCUGGGGCUAGCCAGCUUAGUGCCCUACGAUAUGUGCCAAUAAUCGAUAGCAUUUUUUACUACAGUAAUUAUGAGAAGCAUAGUAUUUUCUAGCAUGCUUGUGAAGAGUGGAAACAAAUAUUAAUCC